CUCUUAAACCUGGUCCAUGCGCACCCUUAUCUCAUCUUCCUGCCGCAUACUCGACCCAAAGAGAUCCCCUCGCUCUCACACACCCAGUGAUGCUGGCCAUCUCCCCUGUCACACCCCGCCAAUGGCAUCCAUCCCCUCCCUCGCCGUCUCCGGCGCCGCCACCGCCGUCCCAGCCGUCGUCGCUGCCAAGCCCCUGCCCAGCUCCGCCGGCUUCGACAAGGGCGGUUCUUAUCAGAGGAGCACCCAAGCAGCGGAAAAUGGCAGAUUGGAGAGUGAGAGCCCCCCUCGUCCGCUAGACGCCCAGGAAGCAAUGAGCAUGCUGAAGGACGGCCGGACUGUGCAGUCGGCGAUGUACGUGCCCCUGCUGCACCGGUGCGUCGAGACCAGAGGCCUCGGCGCCGCCAGGGCCCUGCACGGCCACAUGGCGAAGACCGGAACCGUCGCGGACAUGUUCGUGGCGACGUCCCUGGUAAACGUGUACAUGAGGUGCGGGGCGAGCCGGGACGCGCGCAGCCUGUUCGACGAAAUGCCCGAGAAGAACGUGGUCACCUGGACGGCGCUGAUUACAGGAUAUACUCUGAACUCUGAAGCGGUGCUGGCGCUGGAGGUGUUCGUCGAGAUGCUCGAGCUUGGGAGGUACCCGUCGCAUUACACGCUGGGCGGCAUGCUGAACGCGUGCUCUGCCGCGCGCAGGAUCGAUCUGGGCCAGCAGGUCCAUGGCUACUCGAUCAAGUAUGGGGCUGAUACCAUCACGAGCAUGGGCAAUUCACUUUGUAGGAUGUACUGCAAGUCUGGAGACUUACAAUCUGGUCUGAGGGCCUUUAAGGGGACCCCUGACAAGAAUGUGAUCACCUGGACGACGAUGAUAUCGUCCUGCGCCGAAGACGAGAACUACCUGGAGCUUGGGCUGAGCUUGUUUCUCGAUAUGCUCGAGGGAGGGGUGACGCCGAAUGAGUUCACGUUGACCAGUGUCAUGAGCUUGUGUGGCGCGAGGCUGGAUAUGAAUCUCGGCAAGCAGGUCCAGGCUUUCUGCUACAAGGUUGGGUGUGAAGCGAAUCUUCCAGUGAAGAACUCCACAAUGUACCUCUAUCUCAGGAAGGGCGAAACGGACGAGGCUAUGCGGUUGUUUGAAGAGAUGGACAGCAGCAGUAUUAUCACGUGGAAUGCAAUGAUCUCCGGGUAUGCUCAAAUCAUGGACUCGGCAAAGGAUGACCUCCAUGCUCGUUCCAGAGGGUUCCAGGCACUCAAAUUGUUCCGUGAUCUCGUGAGGUCUGAAUUGAAGCCUGAUCUGUUCACCUUCUCAAGCAUCCUGUCAGUCUGCAGCGCCAUGAUGGCCUUGGAGCAGGGUGAGCAAAUCCACGCAACCACCAUAAAGACUGGAUGUCUGUCGGAUGUUGUUGUGAACAGCGCACUGGUAAACAUGUAUAACAAGUGCGGAUGCAUCGAGUGUGCGACCAAAGCCUUCGUCGAGAUGCCAACACGGACACCUGUCACUUGGACCUCUAUGAUUUCAGGGUACUCGCAGCAUGGCAGGUCCCGAGAUGCGAUACAGCUCUUUGAGGACAUGAUAUUAUCUGGCGCCAAACCAAACGAAAUCACAUUCGUAAGUUUGCUGUCAGCCUGCAGCUAUGCUGGUUUAGUAGAGGAGGCUGAGCGCUACUUUGACAUGAUGCGGAAUGAGUAUCAUAUAGAGCCUCUUGUGGACCAUUACGGGUGCAUGGUUGACAUGUUCGUGCGAUUGGGCCGGCUGGAUGAUGCAUUUUCCUUCAUCAAGAGAACAGGCUUUGAGCCGAAUGAGGCCAUCUGGUCUAGUUUGGUAGCUGGAUGUCGGAGUCACGGGAACAUGGAGCUUGCUUUCUACGCUGCUGAUAGGCUCCUUGAGCUCAAGCCGAAAGUGAUUGAAACAUAUGUCUUGCUGUUGAACAUGUACGUGUCUACUGGUAGAUGGCGUGACGUCGCUAGGGUGCGGAAACUGGUCAAACAUGAAGAUGUCGGGUUUCUCAGAGACCGUAGCUGGAUUGCAAUCAGAGACAAGGUGUAUUUCUUUAGAGCUGAUGACAUGACUCACCCUCAAGCUACCGAGUUGUAUCAAUUGUUGGAGAAUUUGCUGGAAAAGGCUAAGGCCGUAGGGUACGAACCGUACCAGAAUGCUCCUGAGUUGUUAUCUGACAGCACGGAGGGCGAUGACGACAGGCCUGCUGCUGCUGCAGGUUCACUAAUAAAGCACCACAGUGAGAGGUUAGCUGUUGCACUGGGGCUGCUCAAAACACCUCCUGGUGCGACAGUCCGUGUGACCAAGAACAUCACCAUGUGCAGGGACUGCCACAGCUCUAUCAAAUACUUCUCAUUACUUGCAAACAGAGAGAUUGUUGUCCGGGACAGUAAACGGCUUCACAAGUUCAAGGAUGGUCGGUGCUCCUGUGGGGAUUUUGGUUUGACUUACUCUGAAGAACUUGUUUACUGCAAGUCUCGUAGCACUUGGUCCUCUCUCUUCCUUCCGGCGGGAAAGAAGAAAAAUAGGGCUCGAUUCCGGUUGGGUAACGAAAAGGCUCUUCGAUCCGGCAGCUGCCCACACCGCCGUUCCCUGUCCUUAAGUUCCGGUGCUUUUCCCUGCCGGAAGGAUGGGAGGAAAGGUAUGGGAAUGCAGCAGCAGCAGCAGGAGGAGUUGGCAGAGGGCGGCGUCGGGAAGAGGACGAAGGUUGCGGGGGCGUUGGGAAGGGAGGAAGGUAUUGUCACCAUGAACCUUGGCAUCCUUGACUGCCCCGUCUGCUUCCAUCCCCUGCACCCCCCAUCUUCCAGUUUCAUCUCCGUUCCUCAAUGCACUGUUGGGCAUGCUAUAUGUUCAUCUUGCCACGAGAAGCUCCCUGACAAGUGCCACUGCUGCGCCAUUCCCAGUCUACAAUCGCUCCUACAUGGUAGAACAUGUCACUGAAUCCAUCAAAGUUGAUCGAGGUCCACAACUCUGCAUCUAACUUGGACCAACCGUCCGGGCGGGCGAAGUUGAGGAGCUUGUUACUUGUUAACAUGAUGGAGGUGCCCCUUGGCAGUGUCAGCCUCGCAUUGAUGGAUCCAAGUUCAGAUGCAGGCUGGCAUUGUCAUGCCCUGGAGUGUUAUAUCAGGAUACAGUAUUACCACUGCCCAUGUAGCAUUGCUUUUGACAGGGGUCUACAAGGCCAACACACUACCAUGUGCUCCCCGAUGAGAUGCAGGAGCUCGUGCACAGCCUCCCCUAUGUACUCCCUCCAUCCGAAAAAGUUUGUUCCUCAAAUGGAUGUAUCUAAGCACCAAGUUAGUGCUAGAUACAUUCAUUUGAGGAACAAUGGUGUUAGAUACAUCCAUUUGAGAAACAAGUUUUGGGCAAGUUUUUUUUAAACGGAUGGAGUAUCAGGUAAGCAAUGUUUUGCCACUAGUUGAUUCCACAACGUAGGUGAAAGUGAAACAGGACGGCGUAUCAGGGUCAGAUUACCUGACAAACUAUUGUUUUUGAGGGGAGAUUACCUAACAAACCACGAGUAAUUCACUAGGUAGGUUCAAGUGUUACCGGAAUCGAGGGAUUCAAAUGGCGGCUGGGAACUGGGGUAGGGUGCUAGCACCUAGCUGCUGCAAAUGCACUGUUCAAGUGUUCGCUUCUCUAGAUUCAUUUCAGCUCGAGGUACACGGGAGAAUCCUGGGGAGACCACACAGCGUCCGAGAUGAACAGCGACGCACCCGCCUGGUACGUCUUCGUCAGCCGCCUGACGCUCGGUGUCUCGCUGCCGGACACAGAGAGAAUGCCAAUCCGCCGCGCGCCCCGACGGGAUGCUGCGGUCGACCACAAGGAGAAACACCGCCCUGCUGCCAAGGGACACCAGGCGGGCUGGCUCAUCGUUGCACAUGCUCAGGGGGGAGAGGCUGCUGGCUGUGAUGCGGGUGUACUGGAUUGUAGCGUGCUCCAAGUUGAUGUGGUCGCGCAGGGACCGUCCAUGGUAGGGGUGGCAGCCAGCGAUGGGGCAGUGGCAUGGGGCGUGGAGGCAGGACUCUUCAUGUGCCAGUUUCUCCGUGAACCGGAUCGUCUCGGUGCACCCGUGCUCCUGGAACGAGCACGGCAUGGUAAGGCCGCCGAGGAUGCGCCCCCAGGCGUGGCAGCCGGUGCGCUCCAAGGCACACAAGCCGCAACUACUGUGCUUCAGAUCCGCGCAGCACUUUAAGCAUGUGAUGUGGCCAUUUGCGCACUG